CAUCACACAACGCAGUGACACUCCUCCCUGCAGCUCUUCAUGCCUCUAUAGCUAGGCUGUGUGUGCCUCUGGCAGUUUGGGUCAAACAACAUGGAUCUCAGCAUGAUUAAAAGAGGCCUCCUCAGAUUAUCUGUCUUUUUGCUGUGGACUACAGGUGUCAUCAAUGGGACUGGUGUUACCCAGACCUCCACACUGUGGAAAAACACGGAUGAAAAGGCAACAAUGAACUGCAGCCAUACCAAGGGUGCUGGCUAUCACCAGAUGUACUGGUACAGACAGCUGCCAGGAGAAACAAUGAAACUAAUCGUGUUCACAAGAACCGCCAUUAAAGAUCAUGAUUUUGGAGUUUUCAGCAAAGAGAAAUUCUCAGCCACCAAGCCUGACGCUGAGAGUGGGACAUUCACAGUGAACAAUCUGGAGCCUGAAGAUAAAGGCUUGUAUUUCUGUGCUGUGAGUCAACACAGUGAUACAGAUGCAUUCAACAGCUGAACAAAAACCCCGGUGCAGCACUGUUAACA